rnacentral:misc_RNA from 1 species
GGGCAGCGACAGCAAUCCCCGCACGCCUCUUCAAGGGUCGGAACGAGCGGGGGCUCGUCCGCAGUCGGUUCUCCUGUGUUGGAUACCCGUCUUGACGGCAUUCGGUUGGUAGAAACGGUCCCAUCUCCGUCCAGCGCYGCUGCUCCGUGUGGGCAGCGUGAGCCGGAYGRAUCYCACGGCACGCAUCGCGUCUCGCCCCACACYUGCCUGUUCGYUMGGGCAGUUGGGCUGGCGAACCAYGAUGMAUUGCCCGUUGUCUCGGGUAYGGAAUAUCGGGUGGAUACGGGACCUCWGUCCCGGAUUGCACAAAUAAAUAAUGCGUUCCACGCUCUUGCGAACGACUGUCGGCCCGAUCCCCGGCUAAGCCCCCGUGGCCAGGCCGGAUUCGUGCAGGCGUCKGUGACGGAUGCUACCUGGUUGAUCCUGCCAGUAGUCAUAUGCUUGUCUCAAAGAUUAAGCC